rnacentral:lncRNA from 1 species
AUGGCAUAUCCCCUGACAGCAAGAUCUGGCUCAGCACAUGAACUUACUAUGUUUGGCCUCAGGAUGAGAUGCAGCACACUGACAUGCUCAAUAUCUGCUGAACAGAUGGACGGAGAUAUAAAACCAAAACCUGGACACUUCACCUGCAAGGAGACCUUCAGCCUUCAAGCCAUGGCUCAUGAUCCCAAGAAGCAUCUGAAGCAUGUAGCCGAUUCGAAGCAUUGGAAGCUGGAUAAACUGGCCAGUGUGUUUGCCCUCAUUCAUCUACUAACCUCCCUAAGCUGA